rnacentral:rRNA from 1 species
CGAAAGCCUGACGGAGCAAUACCGCGUGAGGGAAGACUGCCUAUGGGUUGUAAACCUCUUUUUUCAGGGAGGAAUCAAUGACGUGUACCUGAAGAAUAAGCAUCGGCUAACUCCGUGCCAGCAGCCGCGGUAAGACGGAGGAUGCAAGUGUUAUCCGGAAUCACUGGGCGUAAAGAGUCCGUAGGUGGUUCAUCAAGUCUGCUGUUAAAGCGUGCAGCUCAACUGCAUAUAGGCAGUGGAAACUGUUGAACUAGAGUAUAGUAGGGGUAAAGGGAAUUUCCAGUGGAGCGGUGAAAUGCGUAGAGAUUGGAAAGAACACCGAUGGCGAAGGCACUUUACUGGGCUAUUACUGACACUCAGAGACGAAAGCUAGGGUAGCA